rnacentral:rRNA from 1 species
UGGGGAAUAUUGGACAAUGGGGGGAACCCUGAUCCAGCCAUGCCGCGUGUGUGAAGAAGGCCUUAUGGUUGUAAAGAACUUUAAGCGAGGAGGAGGGUACUGGUAUUAAUACUACCAGGUACUGGACGUUACUCGCAGAAUAAACACCGGCUAACUCUGUGCCAGCAGCCGCGGUAAUACAGAGGGUGCGAGCGUUAAUCGGAUUUACUGGGCGUAAAGCGUGCGUAGGCGGCUAAUUGAGUCGGAUGUGAAAUCCCCGAGCUUAACUUGGGAAUUGCAUUCGAUACUGGUUAGCUAGAGUGUGGGAGAGGAUGGUAGAAUUCCAGGUGUAGCGGUGAAAUGCGUAGAGAUCUGGAGGAAUACCGAUGGCGAAGGCAGCCAUCUGGCCUAACACUGACGCUGAGGUACGAAAGCAUGGGGAGCAAACAGG